CACCUCUCAGGGUCGCAACUGGAGAGUUUCCAGUACUCUACCAGUCUUGACUAUGGGAGGGAGAGUCAAGCAGAGGCAUACCCAUUCCAUUCCUAGCUUGUGUAGCGGCUAGCGAGUGGAAGGCAAUCUGCUACAAGU
rnacentral:snoRNA from 1 species